CAUGCCGUAAACGUUGGGCACUAGGUGUGGGUCUCAACCAACGAGAUCCGCGCCGUCGCUAACGCAUUAAGUGCCCCGCCUGGGGAGUACGGUCGCAAGAUUAAAACUCAAAUGAAUUGACGGGGGCCCGCACAAGCGGUGGAGCAUGUGGUUUAAUUCGACGCAACGCGAAGAACCUUACCCAGAUUUGACAUUGAUGGAAUCCUGCAGAAAUGUGGGAGUGCCCUUCGGGGACCUGAAAACAGGUGCUGCAUGGCUGUCGUCAGCUCGUGUCGUGAGAUGUUGGGUUAAGUCCCGCAACGAGCGCAACCCUCGCUGCUAGUUGCCAUCGGGUAAUGCCGGGCACUCUAGCGGGACUGCCGGUGUCAAGCCG
rnacentral:rRNA from 1 species